AUCACUUCAUCGUUUAUCCGACGGCCGAGAUCUAUCGUCAGCUACGAAGAUGGGCUCGAUCCGGUCGUAGAGAUCGAUCUCGUGUUCUUGGACUCUCGGAUCUCUUCCACUCCAAGGGAGGCGACGGGAUAGCAUCAAGGCGAAACGUGAUCGGAGUCAAUGGGCAACUCGCCCGGCGAUUGGAGCAAAUCAAGAAAGGGGAAGUUGAUAUCGAAGUGAUUACCAGCAGGAUUCAGACUUUUCCAGUCAAAAGCAUGCGUGUGUCAUGCAUCUCCCUGUGACUUUAAAGAAUUCAAAAGCUGCCUGCUUGUUGAGGUGAUAAAAAGGAUUCCCACCAUCAAAAGACUUCAAGCUCAUCAGUCAACUCAGCCUGUUAAAUAUCACCAGAGAUCCUGCAAGAAAGUUCCUGAUGUUACUUUCAGCCACUGGAACUCCAUCGACUCUUGCUGCUGCUGACACCGCACUAACUUAGCUGCUAAGGUUAUGGCAUAGGCAUCUUUCGGCAAAUUUGGUUCUCAUUAUUAAUCCAACAGCUUUCACAGGUGCAGAAGUUGUAAGCAACUCAUUUGUGGAGAAGGGCAGCAUGGACCACUAGUCAUGCAUGCAUCUACAGAUUCUUAUAGAGAGGAAAUACAUGGGUCUCUUGGAGCCACCAUCUGUUUGAACCUUACCUCAUCAGGCUGCUGCAUAUGGAUCUCCAUCAUGGCUUGUGUUCCUUCUCCAGAUGUGCAGAGAUGAGGAAGAAGUACUACUGCAUCCUCUUUUUAAUGCAGUUGCCUGUGUGUGUGUGUGCGCGCGCCUGAGAUCACCCAUGUGUUGCUGACUCACAUAGAUUCCUUGUGGAGGCCCAGUGGAAGCAUUGAGUUCUUUGGUGUAUACACAUGAUUCCAAAAUCACAAAGCUACUUUUGUGACAGGGCUUAAAAGCAAGGGAGGCAACAUCCACCAUGGCUGGAGAGAAUGAGGUUGCUUGGGUCCCUCCAAAGGUUUUAAGAGCCUUACCAUGAAAUGCCAAUGGUAAAAGAGAAAGGUACAUUAGCUGUUCCUUCACCAGAAAGAGGAUUUAUUACAUCUGAUUCAAAAAGAUAUAUAGCAUUUUACAUUUCAAAGUUUGGAUAUAGCACAUUUGCCCCUCAAAACAUAGUGUCCCAUUUUUGUAUCCUUUUAACUAUUUAGAUAUUGCAUAAUCCCUUAAUAACUUUUACUUGUCAUUUGAUUCUUGAUUUUUUAAACUUCAAUUUAGAGGGACAAACAUGAAAAUUAGCAAUUUAAGAUAUAAUAUCUAAUCCACUAGUAGUCAACCAAUUGGUUCACAAGGGAAGGAGUCUUUGCAUUUUCCAGCAAAGGCUGGAGUGGUAGUGCUUUUCUUCAUCACCCACAGCUAAGCUUGUUGAGAAUAAUCCAAAUAUUGUUGUAGAGGUCACAGCAUAAAGCAUCCUACUCAAGCCUUUAUUAAAGUUGUGGACCCAACAAAGUUGUAGGCAGGAGGAUUGAUCCUUGGAAUUUGUUUUUUUAAGAAAAAAAUUAUUUAUACACUCUCAAGGUCAGUAAAAUUUUUAUUUUUAAUUUUAGUUCAGCAUAUGUUGUUUUUUUAAUA